AAAGAUAUAAUGAAAAGUAAUUAAUAAAAAUUAAAUAUUUAAACAUUCCCACAAAUGUGCAAUGAACGUGCAAAAAUUCUCUUUAUUAGUUGUUGCUGUUUCUUUCUUUCUUUCUUUCUUUUUUUUGAAAAAUAACGACGUCUCUGAGGCGCGAAUUCCGACAGCGAGAGGAACGGCCGGAUACAGGAGACGGGAAGAAACAAGCCGAUUAUGUUCGCUUUAAUUAAGUGGUUGGAAGAUGUAAAAUUCUCAAUUCUGCCAACUGAACAUAUACGAGAUUUUAAUGAGGAUGAAUAAUCAGCCGGCAUGGAGGAAACGGACCUUUAUUUGGUGGAGUGGCGACAAGAAGCCAAAAGGCGGGUGGCCGGUCUAUGAAGCCUCCAUCAUCAAGCUAGCAGAAAUCCCACCUCUCCUUCUGGCUACAGAGUACUUACCAAGCCCAUGAAAUCGAAUGCAGAUCUUCCUGAUGUGAGAUUUACAUAAAUAUGUCAAAGUCUCAACCUCAUGCUGCCCUCCCCCAUCCUCCUAAACCUGUGGAUACAAAUGCAGAUUUCCUUAAUGUUCAAUGGUGCGUGUUCUUCUAAUGGCCGCCUUCCCACUGGAGGUUUUGAUCCACAGCAAUUUAAAAGGUAAACAGCUUUGAAAGUCAGUUCAAAUGGUUAGCUAAUAGUAUUCUAAAAAGCCUACAACUCUGUCACCAGU